AUGGCAGCCACCUUCGGCGUGUUUGCACUGGGGCCCUAGACAGCAGGCCUCUGGAGCUUUGGCACAGCCCUCCUUGGGCACUUGCCGAGGUGGGGGUGCCUCUGGUGGGUGUGGCAUUGGCAGCAUCAGAAGAUUCAUCUACAAUGAACUACAGCAAGAGAGGAGGGAUGUAGUGGCAAGAAUCACCUCUUAUGAAGCCCCUGAUCUCAUCCUAGAGACUCCAAAGACUACUGGGGAGAAAUGUGAAAGAAUGGCAUUCUCAAAAGGAAGGAGGAAAACAAUUCUUUCUGUCUGCACUGCCUUUCCUGUCUUUCCUCCAGCCAAUUUCCAUGACGGAAUGGAAAGUAUUUCAAGGACAACUCCGCUAACCACCCACCUACGUAGGCGAAUGCCUCUCUCAGGGCCGCCAUGCUUCUGGAUUCCAAAAGAUUCAGGUAGACCUGCACGCAUCCCUCUGCCGCGCACUUCUCCCAGAUCGGUAGCUGUUUACUGUCUGGGACCCCACGAGACUGUGGACACCUCUGUGUCUCAAAGUGUGGACCCCGGACCACCAGCAGCAGCAGCACCUGAGAACGGGUUGGAAAUGCAAAUUCUUGAGCCCCAUCCCAGAUCCAUUAAAUCAGAAACUCAG